rnacentral:rRNA from 1 species
GACGUAGGGCGCGAGCGUUGUCCGGAUUUAUUGGGCGUAAAGAGCUCGUAGGCGGCUUGUCGCGUCGACUGUGAAAACCCGCGGCUCAACCGCGGGCCUGCAGCCGAUACGGGCAGGCUAGAGUGCGGUAGGGGAGACUGGAAUUCCGGGUGUAGUGGUGGAAUGCGUAGAUAUCCGGAGGAACACCAGUGGCGAAGGCGGCUUCCUGGACCGGUUCUGACACUGAGGAGCGAAAGCGUGGGGAGCGAUCCGG